UGCAGUCGAGCGGAGAGAGGUAGCUUGCUACUGAUCUUAGCGGCGGACGGGUGAGUAAUGCUUAGGAAUCUGCCUAUUAGUGGGGGACAACAUUUCGAAAGGAAUGCUAAUACCGCAUACGUCCUACGGGAGAAAGCAGGGGAUCUUCGGACCUUGCGCUAAUAGAUGAGCCUAAGUCGGAUUAGCUAGUUGGUGGGGUAAAGGCCUACCAAGGCGACGAUCUGUAGCGGGUCUGAGAGGAUGAUCCGCCACACUGGGACUGAGACACGGCCCAGACUCCUACGGGAGGCAGCAGUGGGGAAUAUUGGACAAUGGGCGCAAGCCUGAUCCAGCCAUGCCGCGUGUGUGAAGAAGGCCUUAUGGUUGUAAAGCACUUUAAGCGAGGAGGAGGCUACUUUAGUUAAUACCUAGAGAUAGUGGACGUUACUCGCAGAAUAAGCACCGGCUAACUCUGUGCCAGCAGCCGCGGUAAUACAGAGGGUGCAAGCGUUAAUCGGAUUUACUGGGCGUAAAGCGCGCGUAGGCGGCUAAUUAAGUCAAAUGUGAAAUCCCCGAGCUUAACUUGGGAAUUGCAUUCGAUACUGGUUAGCUAGAGUGUGGGAGAGGAUGGUAGAAUUC
rnacentral:rRNA from 1 species